AAGGGUGAGUAAGGCGACGGUAACCAACCCCAAGAUUGGGUAUAGCCGCGGGAAACCGCGGGUAAUCCCCAGCGACGCAACGACACCGGCAUCGGUGUUUUGCCAAAGCUUCGGCGUCUUGGGACGGGCUGUCGUGGUAUUAGCUUGUUGGCGGGGUAAUGGCCCACCAAGGCAUCGAUGCCUACCGGGCGUGCGAGCGUGGCCCGGCACACUGGGACUGAGACACUGCCCAGACUCCUACGGGAGGCUGCAGUCGAGAAUCUUCGGCAAUGGGCGCAAGCCUGACCGAGCGACGCCGCGUGGAGGAUGAAGGCCUUCGGGUUGUAAACUCCUGUCGAGGGGGAAAAAGGGUCGUAAGACCUUGAUUGAUCCCUGGAGGAAGCACGGGCUAAGUUCGUGCCAGCAGCCGCGGUAAGACGAACCGUGCGAACGUUAUUCGGAAUCAUUGGGCUUAAAGCGCGUGUAGGCGGAUUCGUGCGUCUGUCGCUGAAAUCCCCCGGCUCAACCGGGGAAGUGGCGUGGAUACGACGAGUCUGGAGGGGCAUAGGGGGACCUGGAACUUCCGGUGGAGCGGUGAAAUGCGUUGA
rnacentral:rRNA from 1 species